rnacentral:rRNA from 1 species
UACGUAGGGGGCAAGCGUUGUCCGGAAUCAUUGGGCGUAAAGAGCGUGUAGGCGGCCUGAUAAGUCGGCUGUGAAAGUCAAGGGCUCAACCCUUGAAUGCCGGCCGAUACUGUCAGGCUAGAGUCCGGAAGAGGCGAGUGGAAUUCCAGGUGUAGCGGUGAAAUGCGCAGAUAUCAGGAAGAACACCCGUGGCGAAGGCGGCUCUCUGGGCCGAUACUGACGCUGAGGAGCGAAAGCGUGGGGAGCGAACAGG